UUAUACCCCAAGCGACGGGAGCCAAUCAGAAAUCGUUAACGCAUUGGCGAAUCUCUGUUAUAGUAUCUCUAUGGUGAACGAUUCGAGUGAUGAAGCAGCAUGCCUCGGCACACUAGCGCGGCAAGCGUCACGUUCAACGCGCGAUAUCCAAUGAGCGUCAGCUUUGUCAUAAAUGUCGCUCGCCGACCAAUUAUCGAUGUAGUAGCCGCUGCGCGCGCAGAUAACAGCUAUACAAGAUAUCUGAAGUCGGAGUUAAAUAUUUUAUUUAAUUUUAUUAAUAUUUUAUUUAAUAUUAUUAAUUACACAUUAAAAUUUUAUUACAUUUAUUACAUUUUUUUCCUGUAUUUAACAAUGUUUCAUUUUCUUUUUCUAUUUUUUUAACAUGAAAACUUUUCAUAUUAUGCAAAAUAAAAGAUCAGGCGCUUGAGCUCAGUAAUAUAUAAUAAUGACGAAAUACUGAAUAUACAAAACUUAUAAUACAUGAUAGUUAAUUAUUGCAGUCAGUAUGUGAUCAUCAUGAGUUUACAAGUGUCAUCAGUAUGUGUUCUCACACUUGUCCUCAUAUGAAUGUUAAUUUGUACUCAUGAUAUGUAUCAUCAUAAUAUGAUUACAAGAUGUAUAUCACAUUUCCAUCAACAUCAGAAGAUCAUAUUAUGAUGAAAUCUGAUCAUCACGCAUUGCUAUCUGGGUAAUUAUAAAGUAAAAUGUACACAACCUACAUAUAACCUAUACAUUAAACAAAUUAAUAUAAUAUAUUGAUAUAACCUUGACUUGCUUUCUCUAUAUCUUCUUUAUUUAGAAAUAGAGUCACUUUAUUAGUCACUUUAUUAGUUUCUUCGAUAAAAAUUAGAAAUUCAUAUAAUUGUUCCAUUAUGAUGAAGUUCGUUGUCCGUUAUCUGUUUAUUAUGCACGAAACUACAUGAAAUGCAUAAGGCACGUGUUCCGAAUUGCGCAUGAAACGCGUAGAUUACAUCAAGCUACGCAUCAGCUACCUCAAGUCGGACUUGAGGCAGUCAAUGCGCUGGAAAGAGUCGAAGAACUCAGGGUGCGUUCCGAAUUAGGUUUCGCUAACUAUUUUUCUAAUUACGAAGUUGGUAACUCUGUAACUAACUAACAUAAGUUCCGUUAUGAAUCAGCUGCUCUACAUCGUAUUGUCAUUGUAAAGCUAUUAUACAAUAAUGGAUAUUGUACCUAUAUUGAAUGAAAUAUUUUCCAGUUUAAGUUCGGAUGAUGAAGAAAGUGAUAAAGAAUUAAUAGAUUUUAAUAAUAUAAAUCAAAAUGAAAAUCGCAGACGAAAAAAAGCAAGAGUCACUAAUUUUAUUGAAACUGUUGUGUGUAUAUAUACAACAAUGAAGAAUUUCGAGAAAAUUUUAGAUAUGUAAAUAACAGAAUUAUUUGUAUAACACAAUUCGAAUCAAUGACGGUCAUAGUGGAUCUCUUAUAAUUGAGACGUUCUACGUUCAAUUAUCUCUUAUUAUUAUUAAGAGAAGAUUUAGAGGGAAGAAGUAAUUUUGAAAGAAUAACCAUCUCUGCUGAAAAACAGUUGUACAUAGGUUUAUAUGUGUUAGGAACACCAGAUUCGUAUAGGUGACUAAUUUGAUUAUAAUUUUUUUGUAAAAGUUUGAUCGAUUAAUUUUUUUAUAUUAAUUUUUAUAUUUAUUUUUUUGUAAUAUUUAUCUUAUCUAGAUCUGUAGUCACAAAAUUUGAUGUAAGCAAA
rnacentral:misc_RNA from 1 species